UACGAAGGGUGCAAGCGUUAAUCGGAAUUACUGGGCGUAAAGCGCGCGUAGGUGGUUUGAUAAGUUGGAUGUGAAAGCCCCGGGCUCAACCUGGGAAUUGCAUCCAAAACUGUCUGGCUAGAGUAUGGCAGAGGGUGGUGGAAUUUCCUGUGUAGCGGUGAAAUGCGUAGAUAUAGGAAGGAACACCAGUGGCGAAGGCGACCACCUGGGCUAAUACUGACACUGAGGUGCGAAAGCGUGGGGAGCAAACAGG
rnacentral:rRNA from 1 species